rnacentral:rRNA from 1 species
UUUGUUUUGUUCCGGCAAGUUAAAUCUUUAAUUGUUAAAUACUAUAAAUAUUUAUUAUUUAUUCUAUUUUAUAUAGAUAUUAGGUAUGAGUGUUGAUUAAAUGUUUUUUGUUAAUUUGUAUUAGUUCAUUUUAUUAUGGGUGGCUAACUUUAGUGCCAGCAGCUGCGGUUAUUCUUAUACUUCCCAUUGAUUUGUUUUUUGGUUAAAAGGGUUUAUUUAAACAUAAGCUAUGUUUCAUUAGUUUGAUUACUAGGUUUAUAUUUAUUUAUGUAUGAUGUUAGUUUAAAAAAGACGCAUUUUUAUAUGUUUAUUAAUAAGUUAAAAUUUUAUUCCACAUUUUAGUGAAAGGACUUGGCAGUAAAUUUAUUUUCUUGGGGAUCAUGGGUUUUGAAAAAGAAAACACUCUUAAUAACUAAUUAAAGUAUAUAAUUAAUUAUGAAGUUAGUGUACGGUUGACCUAUUUAGAUAAGCUCAUUAGAGUUUACUUGUUUUAAUUCAAAUCAUUGUGCUGCAAUUACUUUAGAUAUAAUCUUUGAUACAUUUUUAUUUUAGGGUUUUGAAAUAACUCUUAAUUAGGACUAAGCAGUAAAUUCAAAAUGUAAUCAGUGAUUUUGAAGGAUAAAUAGGUUUUGGUACACACUGCCCGUCAAUCUCUUAGUUUUUGGGAGAUAAGUCGUAACAUGGUAAGUUUAUCUGAAGAUGAACUUUUAAUUAUGGCAGAAGCUUUAAAAUGCAUUAAGUUUAGAUCUUAAAGAUAGAUUUUUCUUAAUUAAU